GACGAACGCUGGCGGCGUGCUUAACACAUGCAAGUCGAACGGAAAGGCCCUGCUUUUGUGGGGUGCUCGAGUGGCGAACGGGUGAGUAACACGUGAGUAACCUGCCCUUGACUUUGGGAUAACUUCAGGAAACUGGGGCUAAUACCGGAUAGGAGCUCCUGCUGCAUGGUGGGGGUUGGAAAGUUUCGGCGGUUGGGGAUGGACUCGCGGCUUAUCAGCUUGUUGGUGGGGUAGUGGCUUACCAAGGCUUUGACGGGUAGCCGGCCUAAGAGGGUGACCGGCCACAUUGGGACUGAGAGACGGCCCAGACUCCUACGGGAGGCAGCAGUGGGGAAUAUUGCACAAUGGGCGGAAGCCUGAUGCAGCAACGCCGCGUGCGGGAUGACGGCCUUCGGGGUGUAAACCGCUUUCGCCUGUGACGAAGCGUGAGUGACGGUAAUGGGUAAAGAAGCACCGGCUAACUACGUG
rnacentral:rRNA from 1 species